rnacentral:lncRNA from 1 species
AGGGCAUGUGGUAGUUCCCAGGCCAGGCAUCUUGGGUGUUGCUGGGUGUUUUGCUGUAUAUUUGUUAAACACAGGACUUGCAUAUUUUAACUUAAAAGUACUCCUUUAGCAUUAUGGUAGCUUACCACACUCAACAGUCUUUUUAUACUCUACAGAGGUACCAGUUAGAAAAGAGCACUCAGAUGUAAGGAGAAAAAACUAGCUAUAAGGAUGAAACUAAUGCCUUUCAUGGAAGAAAGGUGAAAUCUUGAGUCAUACAUAAGGACAGGUAGGAACAGUAACUCCUCACCAAUUAUUACCUCAUAAUUGAGUCAUACAUAAGGACAGGUAGGAACAGUAAGUAACUCCUCACCAAUUAUUACCUCAUAAUUGAUUAAAUAACCCUUGAUCAUUGGCAUUUAUAUCAAGCUAGAUAUUGGGUUUUUCUUCCAUUCAUUUAUUCAACAAAAAUUUAUAAAAUAUCCAUAGUGGCCAAGUGCAUAAUGCUGCUGUGGCAUCAGCCUCUGAAGACCCCAGAUGACUGUUCAGAAAUUUUAGUCUAGCAGGGGGAAAGACAUGGAAGACAAAGACAUUUUACAAAAAAUACUCGAUGUUGUGGAGAUUACAGCUAAGGGGGCAUCCUAACAAGUCUUUCUAGGCUAGGAAAUCAUCUCUACAUUAUUUCCCGAAUAUUUGAAAGAAUAACACUUCAUGAAUUCACACUAGAUUUGGUGAGUUGCCAAUAAGACACUUAGAAGAACAUAAUGGAAUGGUGUCCAAAAGAGUUUUGAUGGGAGGAUGGGAGUCUUGAGAAGCAGAAACCCACCCCUAGCCUGAGGAGGAUGGGCUGGAAGUGGGCUGAGAUCUGGUGCUGAUGCAGGCAGGGCCCCUGGAGGUUGCUUACAGGGAAAGGGAAUGAAACACAUGAUUAAAGGGAGUCAAGGAGUACUGAGCCAUUUACAAAUAAUUUACAAGUAAUAGUUUAUUUAAGGUUGGGUCUUUUGAAUAACUUUAUGGCAAAGUAGGGAGAAACAACUGAAACUUUUAGUGCCAUAGAAGAAGGUAGCUCAGAAGUUAUAUGCAUUUAGAGGAAAAUAAAUAAUAUAUUUGUUUCAUCAAUAAGAAUUGCAAACCAAACUAAUUAGAACAAGGAGAAAAAAUGCUUUCCUCUUUAAUCUGGUUGUCAUUAAUGCUACGGGAAUUAUUUAUGCACUCCUGUAGAGCUAAUUACAAAUCAAUUUUAUAUAAUUAGAUAUUAAUACUUUCUGUUAUGUUUUCUAAUAAUUCUCCAUUUAACAGUGUCAUAACUCAGUACAGAUUCUUAAUCAUUUUCACGAUAACAAAUAUUCUUAAAUUUUAUUCCAAUAAGCACUGGCUACUUGUUCUGAACUAAGUAUUUCUAGGUUUAUUUCAUAUUUAAAAUAUAUCUCAGUAUAUUAAAGAGUGCUUAAAUUAGUUAUUCAAAGUCCAUUUAAUGUAGUUUUGUGAUUUCAAAUCAAUUAAAUAGCACUUUCUUUCCAUAUACAAACUAAUUUUUAUGCAUUCAAAUGGAAGCUUUUGUCCACUGUAUUUAAUGUUAUUCAAUCUUUGACUUGAUUCCGUUCUUCUGGGGAUGGAUCCUUGUUAUCCAGGAAACUUCAAAGCUAAAAUCAAAAGAAAGGAUGUAGGAAGGCACCUUCCCUCUGUCUGCCUACACUAUUGAGGGUUUUCCUUCAAGAUAUACAGUUUUAUCACAACCAGUUUAAAACCAAAAUCAUAUGUGCUCCAACAAAUAAGAAAGGAAGCUGAAAUACCAUGAAUGGAUCCUAUUUUACAGGCUUCUUAACUUUUUAAGAUAAAUUAGAAUGUCAAAAGGCAUCUGCCUUCCGUUACCCUAUUCUUUUUUAAAAUAUUUUGUUCCAAAAUAUUUCUAUAGCCUAAAAUUACGACAUAUUGGGCCACAAUUGUUUGAGAGAAAUUGUAAAAGAUUUUAGAAGUUCUUUAUUAUAAGGAUGAAAAACUUAACACUGCUCUAAAAGACCAUAUAUAAAAUGAUUUUGAGUCUGAUAAAUUUAUCAAUGUUAAUAUGAUAAAUAUAUGCAAUAUUAUGACUGUGUCAUGUAUAGCAUGCCAUAUAUCAACCCAAUAUUAUACUUUUGGGAAAUAUGUAAAGUAAUGCAAAUAUUAAAGUUUUGUGGAAGAUUUUUGGCUGUAUAUCUUUAACAUAUGUCUAUUUUGUGCAAUUUUACAUGCAAAAUAUGUUUAAGACCAGAGAUUUUUUUUUUUUUCUUGGGCUGAGUUUCGUAAUUCAGGAAGAGUUUUGAGAGAACUAUUAUCUCAAGCAUGGACUGACUACACAUACACACAUUCUCACACAUACAUAAGCGUUCU